UAAGCGGAGGAAAAGAAACCAACAGGGAUUGCCUUAGUAGCGGCGAGUGAAGCGGCAAUAGCUCAAAUUUGAAAUCUGGCGUCUUCGGCGUCCGAGUUGUAAUUUGAAGAAGGUAUCUUUGGUUUUGGCUCUUGUCUAUGUUCCUUGGAACAGGACGUCACAGAGGGUGAGAAUCCCGUGCGAUGAGAUGCCCAAUUCCAUGUAAAGUUCCUUCGACGAGUCGAGUUGUUUGGGAAUGCAGCUCUAAGUGGGUGGUAAAUUCCAUCUAAAGCUAAAUAUUGGCGAGAGACCGAUAGCGAACAAGUACUGUGAAGGAAAGAUGAAAAGAACUUUGAAAAGAGAGUGAAAAAGUACGUGAAAUUGUUGAAAGGGAAGGGCUUGAGGUCAGACUUGGUUUACCAGGCCAGCAUCAGUUUGGAUGGCAGGAUAAUAGCCUAGGAAAGUGGCACCACUUCGGUGGUGUGUUAUAGCCUGGGUUGAUACUGCCUGUCUAGACUGAGGACUGCGUCUUUGACUAGGAUGCUGGCAUAAUGACCUUAAGCCGCCCGUCUUGA
rnacentral:rRNA from 1 species